rnacentral:rRNA from 1 species
UGCGAAGGGGGCUAGCGUUGUUCGGAAUUACUGGGCGUAAAGCGCACGUAGGCGGAUUUGCCAGUCAGGGGUGAAAUCCCGGGGCUCAACCUCGGAACUGCCUCUGAUACAGCAAGUCUUGAGUCCGGAAGAGGUGGGUGGAAUUCCUAGUGUAGAGGUGAAAUUCGUAGAUAUUAGGAAGAACACCAGUGGCGAAGGCGGCCCACUGGUCCGGUACUGACGCUGAGGUGCGAAAGCGUGGGGAGCAAACAGG